rnacentral:tRNA from 1 species
GUUAAUGUAGCUUAAACUAAAGCAAAGCGCUGAAAAUGCUUAGAUGAGUGUUACCACUCCAUAAACA